rnacentral:rRNA from 1 species
GAUGAACGCUGGCGGCGUGCCUAAUACAUGCAAGUCGAGCGAACAGACGAGGAGCUUGCUCCUCUGACGUUAGCGGCGGACGGGUGAGUAACACGUGGAUAACCUACCUAUAAGACUGGGAUAACUUCGGGAAACCGGAGCUAAUACCGGAUAAUAUAUUGAACCGCAUGGUUCAAUAGUGAAAGACGGUUUUGCUGUCACUUAUAGAUGGAUCCGCGCCGCAUUAGCUAGUUGGUAAGGUAACGGCUUACCAAGGCAACGAUGCGUAGCCGACCUGAGAGGGUGAUCGGCCACACUGGAACUGAGACACGGUCCAGGCUCCUACGGGAGGCAGCAGUAGGGAAUCUUCCGCAAAGGGCGAAAGCUUGACGGAGCAACGCCGCGUGAGUGAUGAAGGUCUUCGGAUCGUAAAACUCUGUUAUUAGGGAAGAACAAAUGUGUAAGUAACUAUGCACGUCUUGACGGUACCUAAUCAGAAAGCCACGGCUAACUACGUG